GACGAACGCUGGCGGCGUGCUUAACACAUGCAAGUCGAACGGUGACGGAGGAGCUUGCUCCUCCCGAUCAGUGGCGAACGGGUGAGUAACAUGUGAGUAACCUGCCCCAGACUCUGGGAUAACCUCGGGAAACCGGGGCUAAUACCGGAUACGAGACGCUCCGGCAUCGGAAGCGUCUGGAAAGAUUUAUCGGUCUGGGAUGGACUCGCGGCCUAUCAGCUAGUUGGUGAGGUAACGGCUAACCAAGGCGACGACGGGUAGCCGGCCUGAGAGGGCGAGCGGCCACACUGGAACUGAGACACGGUCCAGACUCCUACGGGAGGCAGCAGUGCGGAAGAUUGCACAAUGGGCGCAAGCCUGAUGCAGCAACGCCGCGUGGGGGAUGAAGGCCUUCGGGUUGUAAACCCCUUUUAGCAGGGAAGAAGCGAAAGUGACGGUACCUGCAGAAAAAGCGCCGGCUAACUACGUGCCAGCAGCCGCAGUAA
rnacentral:rRNA from 1 species